GAAGAGCAUGAGUGGUCUUUAAUUCAAAGCAGGGAAGCUCCAAGAGGGUGACUGGGGCUGAGAGUUAGCGGUGGGAGGAAGAAGGGAAUGGCAGCCACGGAGAUCUUCAUGCUGUGGGAAGCUGUUGUGGGAGGAGAGCUGGCCUGGUGGGAGCUUCAGAGGCUCCUGCGG
ensembl:lncRNA novel transcript, antisense to CCL14